AGAGUUUGAUCAUGGCUCAGGAUGAACGCUAGCGGCAGGCCUAAUACAUGCAAGUCGAACGGUAAGUCCCGCCUCGGCGAGAACACGAGUGGCGCACGGGUGCGUAACGCGUAUGCAACCUACCUUUAACUGGGGAAUAGCCCCGAGAAAUCGGGAUUAAUACCCCAUAAUAAUAAAAUAUGACAUCAUUUUUUAUUUAAAGUUCCGGCGGUUAAAGAUGGGCAUGCGUGACAUUAGUUAGUUGGUGAGGUAACGGCUCACCAAGGCAACGAUGUCUAGGGGUUCUGAGAGGAUUAACCCCCACACUGGUACUGAGACACGGACCAGACUCCUACGGGAGGCAGC
rnacentral:rRNA from 1 species